rnacentral:rRNA from 1 species
GACGAACGCUGGCGGCGUGCUUAACACAUGCAAGUCGAGCGGUAAGGCCCUUUCGGGGGUACACGAGCGGCGAACGGGUGAGUAACACGUGGGUGACCUGCCCUCAGCUCUGGGAUAAGCCUGGGAAACCGGGUCUAAUACUGGAUAUGACUCCAUGACGCAUGUUGUGGGGUGGAAAGCCUUGUGCGGCUGAGGAUGGGCCCGCGGCCUAUCAGCUUGUUGGUGGGGUGAUGGCCUACCAAGGUGACGACGGGUAGCCGGCCUGAGAGGGCGACCGGCCACACUGGGACUGAGACACGGCCCAGACUCCUACGGGAGGCAGCAGUGGGGAAUCUUGCGCAAUGGGCGAAAGCCUGACGCAGCGACGCCGCGUGAGGGAUGACGGCCU